UGGUUUUCUUCAAUUUAAAGUUACUUUUGUGCGUCAGGCCAAAAUUAAUUCAAAAUGCUUUGACUGAACUCCCUAACUCAUUGGAUUUUAUUAGGAUAUUACUAUUAUUCUCCAGCACUUUUAACAUGAUCAGCUCUGGCUCAGGAGAUUGCGCAAGCCGGCAUGCACUCCACCACUUAAUUGCUUACUUACUUAGCUCUACACUGAGGACAAAGGAGCAACUUGACACAAAUUCAAGAGAUACAUGACGAGAGCAGGAUAUUUGGAUCACGAUCUAUCGGUGCAUCAACCCCAACCCCGGGCCCCAAACCCGCGGUGAACGAUUUUGAAUUGGCACACCUAGAAUUUCACGUCUGUUUAGACUGAUGCAUUACGUUCUGGCAUUUUCUUCACUUAAGACAUUCCAGGAAUUUGAUAAAGAAGUAAUAACUGAACAUCGAGAACGUGACAUAAAGCAAGUGCAAAAUUAUAGAAAGGAUGAUUGUUCUACCAUAGAUGUUUGUCGUUCCUCUAAUGUUAAUCUUUUUAACCAAGAGAAAAUGAUUCUUGUCUUAACAGAUUAACGGUGAACUGGUCAAAUCAAUUUGUUGAAUUAAUGUGCUUUCAUUGCCUCAAGAACGAUCCGGCGGCUUAUUACUUGUUAGAGUUCUUCCGAAAUGUCCCACCAUGAGAUGGUUUUUAAUACCUUGAUCUGUUUUAAAGAAACAAUGCGAGGCAUCUCAAGUUGCAGUUUUGUAAUUCGAUGGCUGUUUACAACAGCAGUAAAGUUAAGCUCAUUCCGGUCAGGCUUACAGUAAUUAAGAGCACCGUUUUCGAUGCGGUGAUAACGAACUUUUUUUCGUUCUUAACGUCGACCUUGCCUUGGCAGUGCCAUACGAUGCCGACAAAAUAUUUGAACUUGCUUGUCAAACUCAAUACACCUAAGAAAUAAUAAAGUAGCAAUGCGUGGAUUUUGUGUUAUGACCAGACAAGCCCUGUUCCAGUUAUUUCAAUUAUGUCCCACGGCCUUAAUUCGACAUAUACCUCGUGGACUAUUGUAUCACACAGAAGACGAUUUAUUGAAUGUGGAAUAUCUCACGGUUGCUGUAGGGACAUUUGAAAAGAAUUGAGUGUUGAAAUAUUGCGAGACACGGUUAAAUCAUUUGCAUUCUGGCUCAACGCAACUCGUAUUACCCAAACAAUGGCGUACUCUAUUAGGUCUCCAGAUUUAGUGAUUGUGAAAAGAUCACGUCAGAGGAACGUUAGCAGUAUUUCUUCCACAACUUAAGGUUCUGACAGAUCUUCAAGUGCAAGAUAUUGUCGAGUUCCUGUCUGUUAUCAAACUAAAACGAAACGUUCUACCAAAGAGGUGUCAACCUGUCAUCGCCGGUACUCCACCAAAGGUGUUCCAGUUCUCAACCCGAAGACAAAAGGACAACCAAAGAAAAAGAGAAGCCUCAUAUCAAGGCAUUAAGGUCGGAAAUCCCCCGAAAUCCGUGAAAGUAUAUACUUAACAGCCUCCCCUGGUACCCCAAAAGAGUUAGCAUCCAACCGGAAGACCAAAUUAAAUUUUAUACCAGGAGAGAAUAGAGACCACCAAAGCAAGUAUCUUUUCCUACAGACAGCCAGGGCCAGUAGGGAAGGUCAAUAUAACUCACCAGGUCGUUUCAUUAUGUCUCUUACAAUGAGGUGUAGUUAAUAACCAUAAACUAAACUUAAGCAAUUCAUUUUUAGGCAGACCCACGGCGUAAGUGGCGAUAGAUGCAGUUUCCUCAUAUAUUACUCAGCCUGCCAACGCAUAAGGAUUUCCGCCGGUUGUUUGCUAGACAGGAGGGCCUUUCGAGCAAUUGAACAAAUUAUUAUACAAGCUAAUGUCACAGUGGACCAGAUCCACAUAAUUCUCGUGCUGACAAGUUCACGACGACGGCUAUCUCGUUUUACUAACUGCAAAAACAGUAAUCAAGAAAGUAUUUCUGACUGAAGAACAUCCAGGUCAGCUUGUGGUUUGUAUCAAAUAUAGCGUAGAUUUUGGUUUCGUUCAGUCGAGCUGUGGGUCAAGUCCAACAUCCAUCAUCAAUUUUCCAUCUUUAAGCCUUCCCUAACUCAGUCCAAAUUAUCUUCACUUUAUCUCGUUAAGCGUUAAAAAUAACUUACAACAAACGUACCAGAAUGUCUCACUAUACUGCUAACGCAAGUGACAAUUUUACCUAAAUUACCAUGGCCUUCGUUUCAGAUUCUUGUUCCAGGGCAUAAACAAAUUAGACCUUUUCUCUCACUCUUAUGGUGAUAGCAGAAUUCCGUGUUAAGAAGAAUUUACUUUAAUUUCUUAUCAGUGAUUUGCAAGCAGUGAUCUUCGGUCAAGUUCAGUACAGAAAGUAGGGUCAACAGUCCAGGAAUGAAAUCUUUUACCAUUCUGAUUUAUGGAGUCUGUCUCUGUUUAAAAUUUGAAGGGUUAAACCGAAAACUGCUUUGAUCUGUUAUACGGAUAUUAUGUAACUUAAACAAAUUAAGAACAUAGAAAAUAUUUUUAAUGAGCUGAAAGUGUAGGUGAUUUUGUUAAUGAUGUUGAUGGCUAUCAUAUAUUAAGCAUGUUAGCUUUUGUGCAAGAGAAAUGUAAAGGCGGUGCUUCGUUCCUACAUUAAUUUAAAGUAGCUCAGGCUACCUAGUAAAGAGCGAAACAAAACAUCCCUGUCUCUUAUCAUAGUUAGGCAAUAUCA
rnacentral:lncRNA from 1 species